CCUACGGGAGGCAGCAGUGAGGAAUAUUGGUCAAUGGGCGCGAGCCUGAACCAGCCAAGUAGCGUGAAGGAGGAAGGAAAGAAGGGGGGUAAACUUCUUUUAUAAAGGAAUAAAGUGAGGCACGUGUGCCUUUUUGUAUGUACUUUAUGAAUAAGGAUCGGCUAACUCCGUGCCAGCAGCCGCGGUAAUACGGAGGAUCCGAGCGUUAUCCGGAUUUAUUGGGUUUAAAGGGAGCGUAGAUGGGUUGUUAAGUCAGUUGUGAAAGUUUGCGGCUCAACCGUAAAAUUGCAAUUGAUACUGGCAGUCUUGAGUACAGGUGAGGUAGGCGGAAUGCGUGGUGUAGCGGUGAAAUGCUUAGAUAUCACGAAGAACUCCGAUUGCGAAGGCAGCUUACUAAACUGCCACUGACAUUGAUGCUCGAAAGUGUGGGUAUCAAACAGGAUUAGAUACCCGUGUAGUC
rnacentral:rRNA from 1 species